rnacentral:rRNA from 1 species
UACGUAGGGUCCGAGCGUUAAUCGGAAUUACUGGGCGUAAAGCGUGCGCAGGCGGUUUUGUAAGUCUGACGUGAAAUCCCCGGGCUUAACCUGGGAAUUGCGUUGGAGACUGCAAGGCUGGAGUCUGGCAGAGGGGGGUAGAAUUCCACGUGUAGCAGUGAAAUGCGUAGAGAUGUGGAGGAACACCGAUGGCGAAGGCAGCCCCCUGGGUCAAGACUGACGCUCAUGCACGAAAGCGUGGGGAGCAAGCAGG